rnacentral:sRNA from 1 species
UAUUGGUGACGCGUAGUCGGAAUGCUC